rnacentral:rRNA from 1 species
GACGUAGGUGGCGAACGUUAUCCGGAAUUAUUGGGCGUAAAGGAUGCGUAGAUGGUGUAGUAAGUUAUCGGUGGCAAAUCGAGGCUCAACCUCGUGGAAGUCGGUAAUACUGCUAUGCUAGAGGAUAGGAGAGGUUAACGGAACUCCCUGUGGAGCGGUGAAAUGCGUAAAUAUAGGGAAGAACACCAAUAAGGCGAAGGCAGUUAACUAUUCUAUUCCUGACAUUGAGGCAUGAAAGCGUGGGGAGCAAAACGG